CACCAGCUUCCCUGGCUCGAUGAAGUGUUGUAGUCCUCGUCCCUGUAUCCGUAUUCUGGUGCCAUGUGCACCUUGCCACUCGCCCCGUCGCGUGCCCCGCAGGGCUAUGUAUAGUCUUGCAACACCAGCUUCCCUGGCUCGGUGAAGUGUUGUAGUCCUCGUCCCCGUAUCCGUAUUCUGGUGCCAUGUGCACCUUGCCACUCGCCCCGUCGCGUGCCCCGCAGGGCUAUGUAUAGUCUUGCAACACCAGCUUCUCUGGCUCGAUGAAGUAUUGUAUUCCUCCUUGUAAAAGUAAAUGCAAUUGGGUGGGAUAAAGAGUUGUAGUCCUCGUCCCCGUAUCCGUAUUCCGGGGCUAUCUGUACUAGCCCCGUUCGCCCACUCGCAUGCUCCGCAGGGCUAUGUAUAGUCAUGUAACCCCAGCUCUGCUGUCUCGGUGAAGUCUAG